CCCUUAGAUGUCCUGGGCCGCACGCGCGCUACACUGACAUGUUCAACAAGCCUCCUAGUUCGACAGGAUUUGGGAAAUCUUUGAACGCAUGUCGUGAUAGGGAUAGAUCAUUGCAAUUAUUGAUCUUGAACGAGGAAUUCCUAGUAAACGCGAGUCAUCAGCUCGCAUUGAUUACGUCCCUGCCCUUUGUACACACCGCCCGUCGCACCUACCGAUUGAGUGUUUCGGUGAAGAUUCCGGAUAGGACUUUUUUGAUUUAUUUCAAUUUUGUCUUAAAAGCUAUCUAAACCUCAACAUUUAGAGGAAGGUGAAGUCGUAACA
rnacentral:rRNA from 1 species